CUCCGAUGAUGAUCCAGCCAUGCUAAUACUGAUACACAAGGCAGUUUCUCUGCCUGGGUGUAAGUGAAUGCAACUCACAUUCUCACGCUGAUGGAAUCGGUGUGUGCUGAGGAGA